rnacentral:tRNA from 1 species
UCUCUGGUGGCUCAGACGGUAAAGUGUCUGCCUGCAAUGCAGGAGACUUGGGUUCGAUCCCUGGGUUGGGAA